rnacentral:rRNA from 1 species
UGGGGAAUAUUGCACAAUGGGCGCAAGCCUGAUGCAGCCAUGCCGCGUGUAUGAAGAAGGCCUUCGGGUUGUAAAGUACUUUCAGCGGGGAGGAAGGGAGUGAGGUUAAUAACCUCAUUCAUUGACGUUACCCGCAGAAGAAGCACCGGCUAACUCCGUGCCAGCAGCCGCGGUAAUACGGAGGGUGCGAGCGUUAAUCGGAAUUACUGGGCGUAAAGCGCACGCAGGCGGUCUGUCAAGUCGGAUGUGAAAUCCCCGGGCUCAACCUGGGAACUGCAUUCGAAACUGGCAGGCUGGAGUCUU